GUAGUCUGCAACUCGACUACAUGAAGCUGGAAUCGCUAGUAAUCGCGGAUCAGAAUGCCGCGGUGAAUACGUUCCCGGGUCUUGUACACACCGCCCGUCACACCAUGGGAGUCGGGAAUGCCCGAAGCCAGUGACCCAAGCGAAAGCAGGGAGCUGUCGAAGGCAGGCCGGAUAACUGGGGUGAAGUCGUAACAAGGUAGC
rnacentral:rRNA from 1 species